GACGAACGCUGGCGGCGUGCUUAACACAUGCAAGUCGAGCGGAGCGGCGGACGGGUGAGUAAUGCCUAGGAAUCUGCCUGGUAGUGGGGGAUAACGUCCGGAAACGGGCGCUAAUACCGCAUACUCUCAGAUGAGCCUAGGUCGGAUUAGCUAGUUGGGUGGGUAAAGGCCUACCAAGGCGACGAUCCGUAACUGGUCUGAGUGGAUGAUCAGUCACACGGGAACUGAGAAACGGGCCAGACGCCUACGGGAGGCAGCAGUGGGGAAUAUUGGACAAUGGGCGAAAGCCUGAUCCAGCCAUGCCGAGUGUGUGAAGAAGGUCUUCGGAGUGUAAAGCACUUUAAGUUGGGAGGCGUUACCAACAGAAGAAGCACCGGCUAACUUCGUGCCAGCAGCCGCGGUAAUAC
rnacentral:rRNA from 1 species